CCUACGGGUGGCUGCAGUGGGGAAUAUUGGUCAAUGGGGGAAACCCUGAACCAGCGACGCCGCGUGGGGGAUGAAGGUUUUCGGAUUGUAAACUCCUUUUGUUGGAGACGAUAAUGACGGUAUCUAACGAAUAAGCCACGGCUAACUCCGUGCCAGCAGCCGCGGUAAUACGGAGGGUGCAAGCGUUACUCGGAAUCACUGGGCGUAAAGCGCGCGUAGGCGGGAUAGCAAGUCAGAUGUGAAAUCCUAUGGCUUAACCAUAGAACUGCAUUUGAAACUGUUAUUCUAGAGUAGGGGAGAGGUAGGUGGAAUUCGUGGGGUAGGGGUAAAAUUCGUAGAGAUUAAGAGGAAUACUCAUUGCGAAGGCGACCUGCCAGAACAUAACUGACGCUGAGGCGCGAAAGCGUGGGGAGCAAACAGGAUUAGAUACCCCAGUAGUC
rnacentral:rRNA from 1 species